CACAUCGCCCCAAUCGCGUCGCCACGCCCGCCCCCAACCAUCGCGACCUGACCCGCCGCUCCUUCGCCGCCCAGCCACUCCUUUGCCGUCCAGCCGCUCCACGCCGCGCCACCAUCGCCUCCUAAACCGGCCGUUGGGGACGCCGUCGUUGGAGCAGUGACGGCGCGCGGCCGCCGCCUUUCCGCCGCCACAGCUUUCCUGCCUGCUGGACGGUAGUGACGCCGUCGCCGCCGCCUGGGGGCCCGGCCGUCCGGGACGCCGCUGCCGCCUUCGAGCGUCUGCCGUCGGUUCGUCGGUUCAGACCUCCCCGCAGCCGCAACCAACAGAUGGAACGUACUCAUUUCGGUGCUUCCCUGUCGUUGUCAGAGAACCAGGAUCGUUCCGACGUUACGAACAAUUCCACUUUAGAGAAUCUCCACGCUAAAAAACUGCAGGGCAGCAACGGAUAGUAUGCCCGGAUGUCUGAUGACAAGAAGGCGGAAUACCUCUAGAAACGGCGUCGGGCAUGGGCUGAAAAAAGGCUGCAAGUCUUGCUAAUGCCAACUGUCAGCAAGUAUGUCAACAACAUUUUUCAUCAUGUUUGUCUCUACAACGUUAUGAUGCAUGUUCAACAUGUAUAUGACAUGCAAGCUCGAGAAAGAUUUGUGCCCCCAAGUUAUGUAUCUGGACCCUCGAGUAAGAUGAUAGAUGAACCUUCUGAGAGGAAACGACGACAUAUGCGGGAACAAUAUGCAAACAUGCCAAAGCAUGACAAAGAAGUUGUCUUGUGUAGGAAUCAUGCAUAUAAGAUAGGACGGCGGCGUACCACCCCAUUAUCCGAACAAUCUUACAUCGCCGAUGUCGCGGGUGGGUCCAAAUUGCACUCACCAAGUACACCUUCCAUACCGACACAACCAUAUGGAUAUAGCUCCACUGGUAUUUUUCAGUCCCCGUUGUUGUCCAUUUACUAGCACUUUAGGUAUGAAAGAACAUGCGGUGCUCCCAUGUUUGGUUUUGGUAAUUGAUAAUAAUCUCUAUGGACUAAUGGUUUCCUUGAGUUAUAUUUGAAGGUUUUGUCCAUAGGCUUUUCUUGGAGUGCAUGUGUUGGUUUCAAGAAGAGUUUGUGUCGAUCAAGGUGAUAUUCAAGGAAUUACCUAAAGAGUGGUCUUGUGAGAGGCUGAUCAAGACUAAGUCAAAGAGUGA